rnacentral:tRNA from 3 species
GCUCGCUUGGUGAAAUAGGUAAACACGACAGACUUAAAAUCUGUUCCUUUGCGGUUAUCGGUUCAAGUCCGAUAGUGAGCA